AAAGAUUAUAUCGCCUUUGGAUGAACCCGCGUUAGAUUAGCUUGUUGGUGAGGUAAGAGCUCACCAAGGCUUCGAUCUAUAGCUGGUCUGAGAGGAUGAUCAGCCACACUGGGACUGAGACACGGCCCAGACUCCUACGGGAGGCAGCAGUGGGGAAUAUUGGACAAUGGGGGCAACCCUGAUCCAGCCAUGCCGCGUGCGUGAAGAAGGCCCUAGGGUUGUAAAGCGCUUUCAACGGUGAAGAUGAUGACGGUAACCGUAGAAGAAGCGCCGGCUAACUUCGUGCCAGCAGCCGCGGUAAUACGAAGGGUGCAAGCGUUGUUCGGAAUUACUGGGCGUAAAGGGCGUGUAGGCGGCUUGUUAAGUUAGAUGUG
rnacentral:rRNA from 1 species